UUGAGGCUCAGGCAGGUUGUCAACUUGGGGUGCAUUUGCAAAGAUGGAACUCCGGUCAGCCGUUGGUUUGCAAGUGGCGGCUGCUGCAUCCUCGGCGAUUCAUCAGUCCCGCGUCCUGUCGCGCCGGGAUACGUUUUUUCUUAAACAAAGACAAAAAAAAUUGCCUCAUCGAUUAAUUAAAAAGAAAAAAAAUACUCUGUUAAUUUAUGAAGAACCAGAUGAAAAUCGAUACACACACCCUCAAAGUUAUACUCACAAAGCAUAAAACAGUACGAUCACUUAGACAGCCUGUCCAAUGCUUCCAACACCUAACAACCAUUGCUCUCAAUACCUACACAACACAUCCAAACCCACAAC
rnacentral:lncRNA from 1 species